rnacentral:rRNA from 1 species
UACGAAUGGUGCAAGCGUUGUUCGGAAUCAUUGGGCGUAAAGAGUUCGUAGGCGGGACAAUAAGUCAAGUGUGAAAUCCCAAGGCUUAACCUUGGACGUGCAUUUGAAACUGUUGUUCUUGAGUUUCGGAGAGGGUAGUGGAAUUGCUGGUGUAGGGGUGACAUCCGUAGAUAUCAGCAGGAACAUCAGAGGCGUAGGCGACUGCCUGGCCGACAACUGACGCUGAGGAACGAAAGCGUGGGGAGCAAACAGG